CCCGGUGACUAUAUCAGAAAGGAUCACCUGUUCCCAUCCCGAACACAGUAGUUAAGCUUUCUGAGCCGAUGAUAGUGCAUACCAGUGCGAAAGUAGGUAUCGCCGGAU
rnacentral:rRNA from 2 species